CUUGCCAAGUUUAAUAAGAAAUUUAAUGUUUGUUUGUUGCUCUAAUUCAAGCUCAGACAUUCUUGUCAUGGCAAAUGAAAGCACUCAACAAUAAUGAAUGCCAUUCAUCAAGACACUGCCACACAUCAACACAAAAACAGCUGUGGCACUGAUACACCAAGGUUAUGAAACCUUACUGAACUGUUUGUAUAGUGCUGCCAAUGUAAGCGCACUGUAAGGCAAGUUCUCGAACUUAAUUGCCAGACCUCAUACUUAGCACUUUUUCUAGGAUGAGGUCACAAAUUCAAUUGUCAGACCUGUACAUAAUGUAUACUCCACAUCCAAACUCUCAAGGCUUUUUAGGGGAGAAAUAAAAAAACUGAUGUUGUUUUCCCUGGACCUGAUGUGGCAGUUUUACAUUCCUUAUCACUUCUUGCUUUGAGAGGUGUGGCCAGUGUCCCUUGCCUUGAAUCUAGGUGCUAUGACUGAACAAUACAAUACAGCUGAGAUGAUGCUGGAUUAAUUCCCAGGCACAGGUCUUAAGAAACUGGUAGUUUCCAUUUCCUGUCUUUUGAGACAGUCACUCCUGGAACUGAGGCCCAUGUACCUAAGGAAAGACUACCUGGAAAGGAACAAAGGCCUGUGACUCAGUGCUGUCUGAGUUCCCAGUCAAUGGCACCAGCCAUGUGCCCACCAUCUGGUUGAAGCUCUCAAAAAUAAGAUACAAAUUAGAACAAAGAAAAUUACUUGUAACAUAUUAUUGUUAUUAAUAUUAAUGCAUUUGGAAGCUCGUGGAAUUUUCCUUCGUUCUUGGAGUUCAAAAUUUUCACCAGGAUGUAUGAAGGUAUGCGCAUCUAAGAUGAUGAACAACAGCUCGACCUGGAGCUGGGCUGC